GGAAGGAGAGGGUCUCGCCAUGAAAUCCCCCCCAGGUUUCCUGGCAAGAAGAAUUCAAUAGUAAAGCCAGGUUCACACCUGCAGAUUUUCCGUGCAGAUUUGCUCAGCUCCGACCUCAAAGUGAUUCGCAUGCGUGGUAACCACCACUAGAUGCAGGGAAGAAGAAGCACUCUGUGCAACUAUACCAGAGCCGAACAGAACGCGCUGUAAGCCGGAAGUUAUGGGCGGAAUGGACCUCGGAAAAUGAAUGACAAAGCUAACUGUACUCAAUAUUAAACAUUGCGGAAAUUUGUCCCUGUUUCCUUGGUGUGGGAUUUUCUUGGACGCUUAACGGUACUGUACUUCUGCUGAUCCACAGAGGCUGGGCAUAUUAUGGAGAGAAUUAUUUCUAUUUUUGGGCGCCUGAUAACUAUACCGUAUAGUAAAAACAUCAAGCUGGGAGUUUAGGGGGUGAUUCUGCUGUUUCAUUGGCACAAUGUCUAGGCAGAUCUCCUUGAUGUUAUUGCUUUUUCCUUUUUUCUCCAAUAAUUUUUAAGCUGUAAUGUUUUAAAGAGCA